rnacentral:rRNA from 1 species
GCCAGACUCCUACGGGAGGCAGCAGUGAGGAAUAUUGGUCAAUGGGCUUACGCCUGAACCAGCCAAGUCGCGUGAGGGAAGACUGCCCUAUGGGUUGUAAACCUCUUUUGUCAGGGAGCAACGCCGGCUACGUGUAGCCGGACUGAGAGUACCUGAAGAAAAAGCAUCGGCUAACUCCGUGCCAGCAGCCGCGGUAAUACGGAGGAUGCGAGCGUUAUCCGGAUUUAUUGGAUUUAAAGGGUGCGCAGGCGGAAGAUCAAGUCAGCGGUAAAAUUGAGAGGCUCAACCUCUUCGAGCCGUUGAAACUGGUCUUCUUGAGUGAGCGAGAAGUAUGCGGAAUGCGCGGUGUAGCGGUGAAAUGCAUAGAUAUCGCGCAGAACUCCGAUUGCGAAGGCAGCAUGCCGGCGCCCAACUGACGCUGAAGCACGAAAGCGUGGGUAUCGAACAGGAUUAGAUACCCUAGUA